AACGUAGGACGCAAGCGUUAUCCGGAGUUACUGGGCGUAAAGCGCGCGCAGGCGGUCGGCACAGUCUGAUGUGAAAUCUCUCCGCUCAACGGGGAGCAGCCAUUGGAAACUGGGCGACUGGAGUCUGGCAGAGGCAGGCGGAAUUCCGGGUGGAGUGGUGAAAUGCGUAGAGAUCCGGAGGAACACCAGAGGCGAAGGCGGCCUACUGGGCCAGUACUGACGCUGAGCCGCGAAAGCCAGGGGAGCGAACGGG
rnacentral:rRNA from 1 species